rnacentral:rRNA from 1 species
UACGAGGGGGGCAAGCGUUGUUCGGAAUUAUUGGGCGUAAAGGGUGCGUAGGCGGUUUUGUAAGUCUUGUGUGAAAUCUUCAGGCUCAACUUGAAGACUGCACGAGAAACUGCAGGGCUUGAGUGUGGGAGAGGUGAGUGGAAUUCCCGGUGUAGCGGUGAAAUGCGCAGAGAUCGGGAGGAACACCAAUGGCGAAAGCAGGUACCUGGACUAUUACUGACGCUCAGCUGCGAAAGCUAGGGGAGCAAACAGG